AUACGGAGAUCCAAGCGUUAUCCGGAAUCAUUGGGUUUAAAGGUCCGUAGGCGGUCUUAUAAGUCAGUGGUGAAAGCCCAUCGCUCAACGAUGGAAUUGCCAUUGAUACUGUAAGACUUGAAUUUUUGUGAAGUAACUAGAAUAUGUAGUGUAGCGGUGAAAUGCUUAGAUAUUACAUGGAAUACCAAUUGCGAAGGCAGUUACUAACAAACGAUUGACGCUGAUGGACGAAAGCGUGGGGAGC
rnacentral:rRNA from 1 species